GAGGAAAGUCCGGGCUCCACAGGACAGAGUGGUCGGUAACGCCGACCGGCCGAAAGGCUCGGGACAGGGCAACAGAAAGCAAACCGCCGCAUGGGACCGGGCCCCCGUCCAAGUCCAUGCGGUAAGGGUGAAACGGUGCGGUAAGAGCGCACCAGCAGCCAAGGUGACUUGACUGGCUAGGCAACCCCCACUCGGAGCAAGACCAAACAGGGAGCAGACGCGUUUUUCGAAACGCGUCGUGGGCUCGUCCGGCCCGCUAUCGACUCCCGGGUAGGUCGCUCGAACCGCCGAGCAAUCGUCGGUCUAGAUGAAUGGCCGUCACCUGAUUCACAGAACCCGGCUUA
rnacentral:RNase_P_RNA from 1 species